AUCAGACGCAUGUGCGACUGUAAGCAACUAGCAAGGAUCAUUCUUACCAUAUCUCUCAGCAGUGACGAUCAUCGAUCCAUGCUCAAGUAUCAAGUUUUGAACUCAGAUUAGAAAUAGAUGUGAUCUACUGCUUACAUCUAUGCAUGCAGAUUUUAUCAUAUGAUUAUUUCAGAUUUUAUAUGCAACAUAUCAUAUCAUAGAUUUUAGAGUAGGUUGACUUGAUGACUAGAUCAUAUAUAUAUUAAAUUAAUUUGAUUAAUUUAAUUAUCUUUUUCUAUAAUUUAUUUAAAAAAAUUUUGAAAUACAUACAUAAAAUCACCUACAUUCACCAA
rnacentral:lncRNA from 1 species